rnacentral:rRNA from 1 species
UACAGAGGUCUCAAGCGUUGUUCGGAUUCAUUGGGCGUAAAGGGUGCGUAGGCGGCGCGGUAAGUCGGGGUGUGAAACUCUCGGAGCUUAACUCCGAACUGCAUUCGAUACUGCCGUGCUUGAGGACUGGAGAGGAGACUGGAAUUUACGGUGUAGCGGUGAAAUGCGUAGAUAUCGUAAGGAAGACCAGUGGCGAAGGCGGGUCUCUGGACAGUUCCUGACGCUGAGGCACGAAGGUCAGGGGAGCAAACGGG